rnacentral:rRNA from 1 species
UACGUAGGGGGCUAGCGUUGUCCGGAAUCAUUGGGCGUAAAGCGCGUGUAGGCGGUCCGGUAAGUCCGCUGUGAAAGUCGGGGGCUCAACCCUCGAAUGCCGGUGGAUACUGUCGGGCUAGAGUGCGGAAGAGGCGAGUGGAAUUCCUGGUGUAGCGGUGAAAUGCGCAGAUAUCAGGAGGAACACCAAUGGCGAAGGCAGCUCGCUGGGGCGUGACUGACGCUGAGACGCGAAAGCGUGGGGAGCAAACAGG